rnacentral:rRNA from 1 species
CAGCAGCCGCGGGAAUACGUAGGUGGCAAGCGUUGUCCGGAAUUAUUGGGCGUAAAGCGUCUGUAGGUGGCUUUUCAAGUCCGCCGUCAAAUCCCAGGGCUCAACCCUGGACAGGCGGUGGAAACUACCAAGCUGGAGUACGGUAGGGGCAGAGGGAAUUUCCAGUGGAGCGGUGAAAUGCGUUGAGAUCGAAAAGAACACCAACAGCGAAAGCACUCUGCUGGGACGACACUGACACUAAGAGACGAAAGCUAGGGGAGCAAAUGGGAUUAGAGACCCGUGUAGUCCCUGUCUCUUAUAC